rnacentral:rRNA from 1 species
AUGCCACCCCCUCCUCCGGGCAGUCGCGGGCGCGGCCGCGGUCGCGGAAUCGGAUCCCCCGUCGCCAACUCCGUGCCAACCAGUCUCGGCGCUCGCGGCCGCCACCUUCCGCGCCACCGCGUACUUUACUUUGAUGUUCCCAUCACCGACGGACGAGUGAUCGUUUCCGUCGAUUCGCAUGGGCUACUCGCCGCCGCAGCCCGUUCCGGCUUGGACGACGGGCCGACGAUCUUCGUCGACAUAGACAUGGACGGCAACUUCCUCACGGAUCACCGCGUUCCCGGCGAGCCCUUCGAAAGCAUGUACCACCUCAUCCGCGCCGCCAGUACCCACCUGCUCGCCGCCCCCUGCCGCGAUCUUCCUCGGUGUGAGCAGGAGGAGGAGGAUCAUGUGGCCGAGCCUGCAUGCGCAGCACGAACAAUGCAAGAACAGGACCUCUCGUCCUUGGAGGGCCUGCUCAAUGCUACGACGUUGGAGGAAUCGGCUUCCCCGUCCUCCUCCGUGCAGACGGAGGCUCAGCCCUGGGGCUGCCUUUCCUCGUUCCCUAUGUGGGCACUGGCCCAGUUUGAUUGGGGGAUCAUAUUUUUCACCAGGGUCGACCUCAAGGGAUCUUUCCACACGAAUCCUCGCGCGGGCGGGCCGUUUCAGAGCUUGCGGGAAGCUUAUGACGCUAUAGAUCGCUAUCUUGAAGAACAUCGGCAUCCAACAAUGUUCACUGGUGUUUCUCGACUGGAAAGGGUGGUAAGACUGUCUCUUAACUGUCCUGAUGGCACAAGGAAGAAGCUUUUGGAAUCGCAGCAAAUGGAUGGAAGGCGCGAUUGGAAGCGACAGUUGGUUCAAACUUUGGUGGACAAGCAUAAUGAUUACCACCAUCUUUCAGGGGAUCUUGCAUAUGAACUCAAAGAUGUUGUGCGCUUCGAAUCAGUUGCUGGGGGCAAUGGCCAUAGGUACUAUCAUAUCAAUUUCACUAUGAAGACUAAAGGAGCUGAUGAUAGUAACUCUGUUGGUGAAGAUUUAUUCUUUGCUGAAGUCAAAAUCAAGGGUGGAGAAUAUGUAGAACUGGUGGUCAGCUGUUUCUGCAUGGUUGAACCUAAUGACAAUGGUCAUUGCUAUGGUUGUGAUGUGAAGCACCCCAACAAUGCUGCUGCAUAUACUUGCGCCAAAGCAAGCUCUCAGUGUGCAUGCUCUCUAUUUGGUAAUAUGGGAUUGCCGGUCCGUGACGAAAGCUUGGAAGAGGAGGAAAGAAGGGUAAGGCGUUUCUACGAGACCCAGGGUCUCGAUGAUCCGGAUUUCGUGGAGAAAGAGAGAGCGAGGGCACAGAUGCCAGGCAAACCGUUCAGCCCUGCUGAUUGUGUGCUUGAAUAUCGGGCUGUGCCAACCACCGGGAAGACUAAUAAGUAG